rnacentral:rRNA from 1 species
UACGUAGGGGGCUAGCGUUAUCCGGAAUUACUGGGCGUAAAGGGUGCGUAGGUGGUUUCUUAAGUCAGAGGUGAAAGGCUACGGCUCAACCGUAGUAAGCCUUUGAAACUGGGAAACUUGAGUGCAGGAGAGGAGAGUGGAAUUCCUAGUGUAGCGGUGAAAUGCUUAGAUAUUAGGAGGAACACCAGUUGCGAAGGCGGCUCUCUGGACUGUAACUGACACUGAGGCACGAAAGCGUGGGGAGCAAACAGG